rnacentral:lncRNA from 1 species
AGCGGCUGCACCAGUUUGCAUUCCCACCAACAGCGCAAGAGGGUUCCCGUGUCUCCGCAUCCUCGCCAGCAUCUAGCGUCUCCUGAUUUGUUCAUUUCACAGCCUCAGCUCCACUUGGGCACCUGUUCAGCUGGAGGGCCGGUCUCAAUGCUCUCUGUCCUCAGGGAUAGGUUUCCUUUGUUUCCAUUUGAAACGCCGCGUCUCUUAGUGGACGGAUAAAAGCCCUGUGCGUGGAAUGACUAACUUGUUUUGGCCCUGGAAGUCCUGUGUCCCUGCAAAACUGUCAGUCCCAGGUGGGGCCGGCCACCCCGUGGGACAGAGCAUAAUCGAUGUUGGCCGCACGCAGGAAUUUCUCGCAGCACCUGAUGAAUGGGGGAUGCGGGCCAAGCUGCUGUCUUCCAGAAUUUGGCAGUGGGAGGGGUCAAAGGCGGACCUCAAUCCAAAAGAAGACACCUUGAGGGGCGCCUGGGUGGCUCAGUCAGCUGAGCGUCCGACUUCGGCUCAGGUCAUGAUCUCGCACUUCGUGAGUUCGAGCCCCGCAUCGGGCUCCGGGCUGACGGCUCGGAGCCUGGAGCCUGCUUUGGAGUCUGUGUCUCUCUCGCUCUCUGCCCCUCCCCCGCUCAUGCUCUGUCUCUCUCUGUCGCUCAAAAACGAAUAAACGUUAAAAAAAAAUUUGUUUUUUCCAAAAGAGGACACCUUGGAAUGGCCACCUGCCUCUGUCCAGCAGCCCCUUGUCCAGGAGCCCUCAGGAGCGGGGCACUGGAGCCCUGGCCCCGGGACCCCCGAGGCAAGGCUGCAGCAAGCCCUUCUGGAGAGCGACUCCCGGACCUUUGCCUCUAAUUGGCCCCCAUUUCUGCACACAGCCAUUUCCUCUGCCCGCGGCACAACUCAUAAAAAGCCAGGCUUUCUUCCAUACCUUUGAAAAGUUCAAAGGAGCCCAUAUCCUAGGGAGAUCUGGCAGCAAAGGCACCUGGAUCUGAGGGGACUGAGGGCUCUGGGCCGCCCCCCCCCCCCCCCCCCGCCUUUUACUGCUUGUCAGUGUCAGUGUCCCAGGCUCCAGGGGAAGGGAGGCCCAAACCCACCACGGCCAGCUCUGCUCUGUUUUAUGGGAUCAGGCUGUGCUCUUUAACCCUGCCCUGCAUUUUGCAGCGGGAGCCCUCAUGGCCGCGGAGCAGGUCAGGGAACAGAUGUCAAGCCCAUCCUAGAGCAAGCGCGUGAUAAAGCCAGACUCACUGCUGGUGAGUCGGUCAGCCCUGCUCCGUUCAGAGGCCGCCUCCACGGCUUUGCUCCCAUGAUGCUUCUGCUCUUUUGUGGGGACCCUUUGUUGCAGUUGGGGGGUGGAGCACGGGCGAGCUUAUCUGAGCCCAAGGUGCGGUUGUGUUCAGAUUAGCAUAGGGUUUGCAGGCUCUCAGGCAUAGCUUUUUGGCAUUAACUGAACUUGGUUCUUCCCCAGUAUCCAAAUUGGUGAUUUUUAUGCGGCACCCUCUUAGACACUUACCCUCAACUUGAGACCAACGGUUUCGAGGGGAAAAUGAAACGGCUUUGUGCUCUCUAUCCCGACUGGCGUCCCUUACGAGGUGUUCAAGAAAUGCUUGCUAAUUGCACGAAUCAAGGCGGCUUAUGGAACAGGAAACUGGGAUCUUGAAGGGGAGCCUGGUUUUGUUACUUACAGGUGUCUAGACAGAGGAUGGGGCUAGAUCGGAAGGGGAAAAUUUUUAUCUACUUUCCUCCCCGCAAUGAUCUUCGCUCUUUGACUACCCAUCAAACCCACUGGUGGAGGAAUAUGGUGCACUUAUUCAGUUGCACUCCCGUGUACGGCAGAAGGCUCGCCAGAACCUUCUGCGUGCCCUGCACCCUACCUUUUGUCCCUCAAGAUGCCAAUCACCUCAGGUUGGCUCAGUUUGCCGGAGAUCCAGAACCCAGGCCCUCUGGGUUUUCCUUUCCUCCGGUGUUUGACUGAACCCCUCCUGGAGCCCCAGUGGGCAAGUGCGUGGCAUCUGUGUCCACAUAAUUCGUGGCACCUUGGGCUGGAAUGUCUGCCUGUUGUGCCACAUCUAGAUCGUUUAGGGUGAGGGUGAGAGUUGAGCCCUCCCUUUUCCCCAACACACACACGUACACACACACACACACGUGAAGACACAAACAUCCACCUACUCCCACCUCCCCCCACCGCCUCCCCCGGGUUGAGUCGGGCUAAGAGAGAAGACAGGACAUUUUUAUCUGUAUUUAAUCACCACAUUCUCUCCCACAAUUACUCUGUGGGAUUCUUCUCAUGUAUGUGGACCAACUGCUCCACGUUGAAAGAGUUUGAGGCAGCAAUACCUCUGACGGCUUUCGUAAGUUAUUUGUUUGCGUCUCAGACUCCUCUCCUAAAUCCUGCUAGGGCACACGUCCCCCCACCUCCACCCAGGUUAUGAAUGUCAUUGCUGAGCUCUGCGUAACGAGGUUUGAGUUCAGUUUGUCUGGCAACACUUCUGGAUGUAAUCUGUUCCGUGCAAUGAGUCACCAAGGUCAGCAUCUCCCCGCGAGGGAGGUUUCUGUGUGGGUCUGGCUUGUUCUCCUGACCAGCCUCUAUCUCUGAGUGCUGUGAGCUUGGAAUUACUGUGACACCUGCCCCUUGGCCUUCCAGCUACUUGGACAUACUAUGGCCUGUCUAUCAGGACUCGUUUUGAAAAGCGAGUGGGAUAUUAUAGUAAAACGUCUGAUACAGCUUUUCUCACCCGCAGCUGUGACCCACUGGUGACAUAAAUUUGAUGGGUUGUGACCAGCGUUAAAAAAAUAAGUAAGUAAAAAAUAGAACAUAUAGUGGUUUUUCUUUGUGCUGAUGAAAAUGCUAGACGUUCCAAGAUUAGUUUGUGGGGGGACUGCCCAGCUCGGGAAAUAUACUAAGACCUCUUGAGGUGUAUACUUGAAAUGGGUGAAUAUAUAUAUGUUAUAUAUAUAUAUAUAUAUAUAACAUAUAUAUAUAGCAAUAAAACGAUUUAUAAAAAAAAUUAGGAACCCUGA